rnacentral:rRNA from 1 species
GCAGUCUGCAACUCGACUGCGUGAAGCUGGAAUCGCUAGUAAUCGCGAAUCAGAAUGUCGCGGUGAAUACUUCCCGGGUCUUGUACACACCGCCCGUCACACCACGAGAGUUUACAACACCCGAAGUCAGUGGCCUAACCGCAAGGAGGGAGCUGCCUAAGGUGGGGUAGAUGAUUGGGGUGAAGUCGUAACAAGGUACC